rnacentral:rRNA from 1 species
CCCUACGGGGCGCCCCCGGAGGAGAAAAAGGUCCUGGAUAACAUCGCCCGCCUGGAAAUCCAUGCCGGAGCAGCCUACGAAAGCCUCUACGGGCGUGAAGGCUCGCUCCUUGAGCAGCUACGAUCCGUGCAAUCCGAGAUCAAGGCCAUCAACGAUAUCGACGGCCGGUUCCCGACAUCCUCGCAGGAUUUGGAGGCUCUUUAUUACCAGCUUGAAGAGAUUGCCUUUACACUCAGGGAUUAUCAUAAGACGCUGGUUGUCGAUCCGCAACGCCUCAUCGACAUUGAAGAACGGCUGGAACUGCUGUGGAAGCUGAAACGCAAGUACGGGCAGAGCAUUGCCGAUGUGCUGGCGCAACGGGAAGCCAUGGCCGCGGAAUUGGCGGGAGGGC